rnacentral:rRNA from 1 species
CAGCCGCCACGGUAAUACAGAGGGUGCGAGCGUUAAUCGGAUUUACUGGGCGUAAAGCGUGCGUAGGCGGCUUCUUAAGUCGGAUGUGAAAUCCCUGAGCUUAACUUAGGAAUUGCAUUCGAUACUGGGAAGCUAGAGUAUGGGAGAGGAUGGUAGAAUUCCAGGUGUAGCGGUGAAAUGCGUAGAGAUCUGGAGGAAUACCGAUGGCGAAGGCAGCCAUCUGGCCUAAUACUGACGCUGAGGUACGAAAGCAUGGGGAGCAAACAGGAUUAGAUACCCGUGUAGUCCCUGUCUCUUAUAU